rnacentral:rRNA from 1 species
UACAGAGGGGGGCAAGCGUUGUUCGGAAUUACUGGGCGUAAAGGGCGCGUAGGCGGCCGCCUAAGUCAGACGUGAAAUCCCUCGGCUCAACCGGGGAACUGCGUCUGAUACUGGGUGGCUUGAAUCCGGGAGAGGGAUGCGGAAUUCCAGGUGUAGCGGUGAAAUGCGUAGAUAUCUGGAGGAACACCGGUGGCGAAGGCGGCAUCCUGGACCGGUAUUGACGCUGAGGCGCGAAAGCCAGGGGAGCAAACGGG